AGGUGAUCCGCCCGCCUCGGCCUCCCAAAGUGCUGGGAUUAAAGGCGUGAGCCACCACGCCCGGCCAAGGGGUCCUCUUUUUCACCGAGGCAAAGACACGGAGCCUCUUGACCUAAAGGCUUGGAUCAACAGGGCUGCCCCUGGCACAUUUGUACAGCCUAUUUCCCAGAGAGGCAGAGUGAAGGAGCUGGCAUGUGGGCACCAGUUCACAACCUCCCACACCACACAAAAGACAAGCCCAGGUAAUAUCUACUGUUGAAAUAAAGCCUCGACCCCUGGCCUUGGCCUACAAACCCUAGCUGGCUGCCCCCGCUCUGAUUUCAUCUGGCCUCUUGCUCUCCCUUACCCACCACACUGUGCUGCCUUGGCCCUCUCUCUGCUCCUUGAACAAGCCAAGUGAAUGCCCCCUUCCCUCUACUGGAAGGUUCCUCUCCAGGAUGUUAGAGGGUAGUUCCUCAUCACUGCUCCUCUCAGAUUAAAUAUCAGCUCCUGGAGUAGCCAUCCCUGACCUCCAAUCUAGAGCAGCCCUCCCUCACCCCAGUCAUGACUCUAACACACCACCCUGUUUCAUCUUCAUAAAACAGUUGACAUCA